rnacentral:rRNA from 1 species
CCCUUAGAUGUUCUGGGCUGCACGCGCGCUACACUGAUGCGCUCAACGAGUUUACGACCUUGCCCGGAAGGGUUGGGUAAUCUUUUUAAAACGCAUCGUGAUGGGGAUAGAUUAUUGCAAUUAUUAAUCUUUAACGAGGAAUUCCUAGUAAGCGCGAGUCAUCAGCUCGUGCUGAUUACGUCCCUGCCCUUUGUACACACCGCCCGUCGCUCCUACCGAUCGAGUGAUCCGGUGAAUAAUUCGGACUGCAGCAGUGUUCAGUUCCUGAACGUUGCAGCGGAAAGUUUAGUGAACCUUAUCACUUAGAGGAAGGAGAAGUCGUAACA